GACGAACGCUGGCGGCGCGCCUAACACAUGCAAGUCGAACGGAGCUUAGAGAGCUUGCUUUUUAAGCUUAGUGGCGAACGGGUGAGUAACGCGUGAGUAACCUGCCCUAGAGUGGGGGACAACAGUUGGAAACGACUGCUAAUACCGCAUAAGCCCACGGUACCGCAUGGUACUGAGGGAAAAGGAUUUAUUCGCUUUAGGAUGGACUCGCGUCCAAUUAGCUAGUUGGUGAGGUAACGGCCCACCAAGGCGACGAUUGGUAGCCGGACUGAGGGGUUGAACGGCCACAUUGGGACUGAGACACGGCCCAGACUCCUACGGGAGGCAGCAGUGGGGGAUAUUGCACAAUGGGGGAAACCCUGAUGCAGCGACGCCGCGUGGAGGAAGAAGGUUUUCGGAUUGUAAACUCCUGUCGUUAGGGACGAUAAUG
rnacentral:rRNA from 1 species